rnacentral:lncRNA from 1 species
CUUCCUUGUCCAUGCCACACUCCAAUUAUCCAGCAUAAAACUGUCCACAUAGAUAAAAAGUUCAUGAAUAAGAAGUAACACCAGUUGAUCAUAUCAUUAGAACAACAAAGGGGUCAAGGAAACAUAGGUUGGAAAAGCUAACAAAAAUCUCAUACCAUUUUAAAGCAAGUAAAAAUAAUGAUACAAAGUUUGGAUAAAAGAUGCAACUUUAGCAAAUAUGCAGAAGCAGAAUAUACUAACCAUAUUUAAAAGCUACAAACAAUUGAAGGGGGUAAGGUAGAAAACAGCCCUACAAUCCGAAUUAAUUUUUUUGACAAAUUAAGCCCAAAAAUAAAAAUUGUAUAAGAUUUAUUAAUGUCUUAAAUCUUAACAAAGAUUUAUUAUUGUCCAAAAAUAACACAUGGAAAACAAAAUGAUAGAGAUAGUAAUCAUACUAAUAAUAUGUCAAUCUUCCUUGAGAUCAUUGUGGUAGCAUAUGGCAGAAAAUUGAUGAGGAUAUGCAAAACUACAAAUAAAUCAGAAAAGUGGAUGAGAAAGUAAAUAAACCAUGAAGCUAAAACAGAUAUGAAGUAUACAAUUUAUAUCUAGGGAAGCC